rnacentral:rRNA from 1 species
AACGUACGCUGGCGGCACGCCUAACACAUGCAAGUCGAACGAAGUAGCAAUACUUAGUGGCAGACGGGUGAGUAACAUGUGGGUAUCUGCCCUUUGGCCUGGAAUAACACGAGGAAACUUGUGCUAAUACCGGAUAAGUCUUUACGGAGAAAGCUUUAUGCACCAUUGGAUGAGCCCGCACUUGAUUAGUUUGUUGGUGGGGUAAUGGCCUACCAAGACUGUGAUCAAUAGCUGAUUUGAGAGGAUGAUCAGCCACAUUGGGACUGAGACACGGCCCAAACUCCUACGGGAGGCAGCAGUGGGGAAUCUUGCACAAUGGAGGAAACUCUGAUGCAGCGAUGCCGCGUGAGUGAAGAAGGCCCUUGGGUUGUAAAGCUCUUUCGUCGGGGAAGAAAAUGACUGUACCCGAAUAAGAAGGUCCGGCUAACUUCGUGCCAGCAGCCGCGGUAAUACGAAGGGACCUAGCGUAGUUCGGAAUUACUGGGCUUAAAGAGUUCGUAGGUGGUUGAAAAAGUUAGUGGUGAAAUCCCAGAGCUUAACUCUGGAACUGCCAUUAAAACUUUUCAGCUAGAAUAUGAUAGAGGAAAGCAGAAUUUCUAGUGUAGAGGUGAAAUUCGUAGAUAUUAGAAAGAAUACCAAUUGCGAAGGCAGCUUUCUGGAUCAUUACUGACACUGAGGAACGAAAGCAUGGGUAGCGAAGAGGAUUAGAUACCCUCGUAGUCCAUGCCGUAAACGAUGUGUGUUAGACGUUGGAAAUUUAUUUUCAGUGUCGCAGCGAAAGCGAUAAACACACCGCCUGGGGAGUACGACCGCAAGGUUAAAACUCAAAUGAAUUGACGGGGACCCGCACAAGUAGUGGAGCAUGUGGUUUAAUUCGAAGAUACGCGCAGAACCUUACCAACACUUGACAUGUUCGUCGCGACUCUAAGAGAUUAGAGUUUUCGGUUCGGCCGGACGAAACACAGGUGCUGCAUGGCUGUCGUCAGCUCGUGUCGUGAGAUGUUGGGUUAAGUCCCGCAACGAGCGCAACCCUCACUUUUAGUUGCCAUCAUUAAGUUGGGCACUCUGAAAGAACUGCCAGUGAUAAGCUGGAGGAAGGUGGGGAUGACGUCAAGUCCUCAUGGCCCUUACGUGUUGGGCUACAUACGUGCUACAAUGGUAUCUACAACAGGAAGCAAGACUGCGAGGUCAAGCAAAUCCUUAAAAGAUACCUCAGUUCGGAUUGCACUCUGCAACUCGAGUGCAUGAAGCUGGAAUUACUAGUAAUCGUGGAUCAGCGUGCCACGGUGAAUGCGUUCCCGGGUCU